GAUGAACGCUGGCGGCGUGCCUAAUACAUGCAAGUCGAGCGAAUGGAUUAAGAGCUUGCUCUUAUGAAGUUAGCGGCGGACGGGUGAGUAACACGUGGGUAACCUGCCCAUAAGACUGGGAUAACUCCGGGAAACCGGGGCUAAUACCGGAUAACAUUUUGAACCGCAUGGUUCGAAAUUGAAAGGCGGCUUCGGCUGUCCCUUAUGGAUGGGCCCGCGUCGCAUUAGCUAGUUGGUGAGGUAACGGCUCACCAAGGCAACGAUGCGUAGCCGGCCUGAGAGGGUGAUCGGCCACACUGGGACUGAGACACGGCCCAGACUCCUACGGGAGGCAGCAGUAGGGAAUCUUCCGCAAUGGACGAAAGUCUGACGGAGCAACGCCGCGUGAGUGAUGAAGGCUUUCGGGUCGUAAAACUCUGUUGUUAGGGAAGAACAAGUGCUAGUUGAAUAAGCUGGCACCUUGACGGUACCUAACCAGAAAGCCACGGCUAACUACGUGCCAGCCGCCGCGGUAA
rnacentral:rRNA from 1 species